CGGGUGGGCGGACGGGGUGAGUAAUGUCUGGGAAACUGCCUGAUGGAGGGGGAUAACUACUGGAAACGGUAGCUAGUACCGCAUAACGUCGCAAGACCAAAGAGGGGGACCUUCGGGCCUCUUGCCAUCGGAUGUGCCCAGAUGGGAUUAGCUAGUAGGUGGGGUAAAGGCUCACCUAGGCGACGAUCCCUAGCUGGUCUGAGAGGAUGACCAGCCACACUGGAACUGAGACACGGUCCAG
rnacentral:rRNA from 1 species